rnacentral:rRNA from 1 species
AUUGAACGCUGGCGGCAGGCCUAACACAUGCAAGUCGAGCGAGCGGCGGACGGGUGAGUAAUGUCUGGGAAACUGCCUGAUGGAGGGGGAUAACUACUGGAACCGGUAGCUAAUACCGCAUACCCUCGGAUGUGCCCAGAUGGGAGUAGCUAGUGGGGGGGGUAACGGCUCACCUAGGCGACGAUCCCUAGCUGGUCUGCGAGGAGGACCAGCAACACUGGAACUGAGACACGGUCCAGACUCCUACGGGAGGCAGCAGUGGGGAAUAUUGCACAAUGGGCGCAAGUCUGAUGCAGCCAUGCCGCGUGUAUGAAGAGGGCCUUCGGGUUGUAAAGUACUUUCAGCGGGGAGGCGUUACCCGCAGAAGAAGCACCGGCUAACGCCGUGCCAGCAGCCGCGGUAAUAC